GGGUUGUGAGGUUAAGCGACUAAGCGUACACGGUGGAUGCCCUGGCAGUCAGAGGCGAUGAAGGACGUGCUAAUCUGCGAAAAGCGUCGGUAAGGUGAUAUGAACCGUUAUAACCGGCGAUGUCCGAAUGGGGAAACCCAGUGCAAUUCGUUGCACUAUCGUUAACUGAAUACAUAGGUUAACGAGGCGAACCGGGGGAACUGAAACAUCUAAGUACCCCGAGGAAAAGAAAUCAACCGAGAUUCCCCCAGUAGCGGCGAGCGAACGGGGAGCAGCCCAGAGUCUGAAUCAGCUUGUGUGUUAGUGGAACGGUCUGGAAAGUCCGACGGUACAGGGUGAUAGUCCCGUACACCAAAAUGCACAGGUUGUGAACUCGAAGAGUAGGGCGGGACACGUGGUAUCCUGUCUGAAUAUGGGGGGACCAUCCUCCAAGGCUAAAUACUCCUGACUGACCGAUAGUGAACCAGUACCGUGAGGGAAAGGCGAAAAGAACCCCGGCGAGGGGAGUGAAAAAGAACCUGAAACCGUGUACGUACAAGCAGUGGGAGCACCUUCGGGUGUGACUGCGUACCUUUUGUAUAAUGGGUCAGCGACUUAUAUUCUGUAGCAAGGUUAACCGUAUAGGGGAGCCGCAGGGAAACCGAGUCUUAACUGGGCGUUAAGUUGCAGGGUAUAGACCCGAAACCCGGUGAUCUAGCCAUGGGCAGGUUGAAGGUUGGGUAACACUAACUGGAGGACCGAACCGACUAAUGUUGAAAAAUUAGCGGAUGACUUGUGGCUGGGGGUGAAAGGCCAAUCAAACCGGGAGAUAGCUGGUUCUCCCCGAAAGCUAUUUAGGUAGCGCCUCGUGAACUCAUCUUCGGGGGUAGAGCACUGUUUCGGCUAGGGGGUCAUCCCGACUUACCAACCCGAUGCAAACUACGAAUACCGAAGAAUGUUAUCACGGGAGACACACGGCGGGUGCUAACGUCCGUCGUGAAGAGGGAAACAACCCAGACCGCCAGCUAAGGUCCCAAAGUCAUGGUUAAGUGGGAAACGAUGUGGGAAGGCACAGACAGCCAGGAUGUUGGCUUAGAAGCAGCCAUCAUUUAAAGAAAGCGUAAUAGCUCACUGGUCGAGUCGGCCUGCGCGGAAGAUGUAACGGGGCUAAACCAUGCACCGAAGCUGCGGCAGCGACACUAUGUGUUGUUGGGUAGGGGAGCGUUCUGUAAGCCUGCGAAGGUGUGCUGUGAGGCAUGCUGGAGGUAUCAGAAGUGCGAAUGCUGACAUAAGUAACGAUAAAGCGGGUGAAAAGCCCGCUCGCCGGAAGACCAAGGGUUCCUGUCCAACGUUAAUCGGGGCAGGGUGAGUCGACCCCUAAGGCGAGGCCGAAAGGCGUAGUCGAUGGGAAACAGGUUAAUAUUCCUGUACUUGGUGUUACUGCGAAGGGGGGACGGAGAAGGCUAUGUUAGCCGGGCGACGGUUGUCCCGGUUUAAGCAUGUAGGCUGA
rnacentral:rRNA from 1 species